UAAUACGUAGGGGGCUAGCGUUAUCCGGAAUUACUGGGCGUAAAGGGUGCGUAGGUUGUUUCUUAAGUCAGAGGUGAAAGGCUACGGCUCAACCGUAGUAAGCCUUUGAAACUGGGAAACUUGAGUGCAGGAGAGGAGAGUGGAAUUCCUAGUGUAGCGGUGAAAUGCGUAGAUAUUAGGAGGAACACCAGUUGCGAAGGCGGCUCUCUGGACUGUAACUGACACUGAGGCACGAAAGCGUGGGGAGCAAACAGGAUUAGAUACCCUGGUAGUCCACGCCGUAAACGAUGAGUACUAGCUGUCGGAGGUUACCCCCUUCGGUGGCGCAGCUAACGCAUUAAGUACUCCGCCUGGGAAGUACGCUCGCAAGAGUGAA
rnacentral:rRNA from 1 species